UUCUGUGACACACCAGUGUCACUAGCUAGUAAUGAUCUCUCUUUUACAUUAAUCUGGUUAUUAGUAGGCGUUGUGUUAUUCCAGCAUAGAGGGGAAUGAGAAUAAUAGUGACAGCAGCCAUGCCCACAUUGACAGGCACCUCCUGUGAGCCUGACACACACACACAGAGCCUACUUUAAUGGGGGAGCUACUGUGCCUUGGCUAUUUUAUAAAUGAGGAAGUGACAUUCAGAGAGGUUAAGAAACAUGAUGCAGGCCCCACAGAUGGUGAGGGAUGGAGUUAGUGCCCCAAUACGGGCCCAUUUGACUCCCCCAUCCACGCUCCUGAUGACUUGCCAUUUGCAGGCAUCUGAUACUGAGUCAUUUCCUGUUCUUUGGGUGCGUUAAUCCCAGUCCCUUCCACCUUCACUUGUAGGUCAAGUGUGGUGUUGUUCUUGGAUUUGCCUCUGACUUCCCCGCCUUUGCUGUCACAUGGCACUCUGAAUCGGGCACAGUGUUGUGAAAAGGACACACCAGUUGACUUGCCCAGUGUGGCCAGUUUGCCUCCCACAAUGAUGCAGUGUGUCCUCCUCGCUAGGUGGGAACCAGCCGUCACCCAAGCAGCCUCCACCCUGGAGAGGAAUGAAUUCCUUCCGCUGCAGCCAGCACCACAGAACACUGAGGACAGAAAAGGGAGGUUAGAGUUCUGGUGUUACUAAGCCCUUGUUUUCUCUUCUUAGCAAUGUCCACUGAAGCAUAGAGCUGGAAGGGCCCUGCCCAUGAGGUGGUCUCCACACCCAGCCUCCAGCAAACAUGAAGCUGGGAGGCCAUGCUCUCCACCAGGUCUCAGAGUUGCAGGACCAAUGGAGUGAUGGCCCGGCCCCCCUGCUCCAGACUCCGAGGGGAGAGCCUCCAGGGUCCCGUGGCUGCCAUGACAGCGUCAGAGGAACGGAUUCUCUCACAGGCCGGGCUGCGGGAAGUCUGAGACCCAGGGAUUGAGGGCAGGAUCCUUCCGGCCCACUCCAGAUUCAAAUUCUGGCCUCCUCUCCACAUGGCUCCGCCUCCUCCGCAUCUGUGCUCUCUCCAGCUGUGUCUGUGGGGACGCAGGGCCCCAAGUUCCCUGGAGUGAGUGCUCCGCAGAGCCUCCAAGACGAAGACAAUGGGAGCAGUCACCACGCGCGACCCCAGGGCCCUUGCUCCUGGCAGCAGAAGGAGGGAUAAGAAAAUGCAGGCUCAACUUGCACCAGUUCACAGGGGCUGGUGCCACACCAACGGCUGUGCUGUGCCAUCUGCUCCUGUCCUGUGCUGGCUAAUAAACUCCUAAAUACCAAA
rnacentral:lncRNA from 1 species